CUAGCAUUACAGAAUUUGUUCAAAGUAUCAGGCAGAACCACCAUUUCUAUAGAGAGUUCAACUUACAGCAGCACAUUGCUUCAUCAUAUGCCAAGCCCCAAGCCAUUUCAGCUAAUUCUUUCGCAUCCAUGGAAAUAACUGACUGAUUUGGAAAUUUGCCUGUCAAGCCAUUUGAUGCAGCUGGCGUCCUCAUCAAUCAUUCUACUAGAGGAAAGCUAGUGCAAAUUUAUGCUAGAGUUUUAUUAAGCACGGAACCUGGUAAGUUGGUAUUGUUGCUGGUGCUGGGCGGUUACCUGACAUUGAGUGCAUUUGCUGUCAAUUCCAUCAAGCUUAUGAAGUUCUGAAAUGAUGGGUAGAUCCAGAACCUGAGAGGAUGAAGUCCAGUCACCAUGUCCUGCAAUAUAUGAUACGUAUCAGCUGAUUAUUAAAUAGCAGUUGCUGUAUUGUUCUACAGCAUUUUCUUUUUCUCAAUAAAUAUGAAAUUUCAACUUGAAACAUGUAAAUUCAUCUAAAUUCGAUAAAUUUUUUAUGUUUUAGCUAUACUGAGGUUAAUAGUCUCUGAUUAUAUCUCUUUUUUAAGGAUUCAUUGGUUAGAUGAAGUUGUCUGUUAUAAUCGCAAGUUAUAAUCUGCAAAUGCCCCCGAGUCUCACGAAAGAACCCAACAUUCAAGUCAAUAUAGGCAAAUCCAUUUUCUUGAAUAUCAUCUUAUCAACAUCAAAGCAAAGCAUAGAUGAAAGCCUGUCACAGCACCUGAACCAUUGAAUUUCCCCGUUACAAAGAAACCCUGUUAAGAAUCCAAGUUGAUUUGUAAUAGCCUGGGUGUCAUCCAUUGUGAAUUCAUCUGCUACAUCUGUUAAUUGCCAAGUCCAAGAAUCGGUUUCUGAUAAAUAAAUGAAAAUUCCAAUGAGAUAAUAAGCUAAAUAGUCAUCUUCAUCGGACAGAUAAAAAAUAAGUGCAGUGCAGUGAUAUUCCAGGAUCAAAUGCUAACCAAACAGAUAUCAAAUCAUUCUGACAAUUGAAACAAGAACCAGGGGUUCUCAUUUCUUUCUUUUUCCUUUCCUGUUUCCUGGGUUGACCACUAGCAGGACUACAUAUAAAAUAUCGCAGGAAUAAUGAUGUGCUUGCUGCUACGGACAAUAAGCUAGAGCGGCACAGGAGCAAUCAAUCCCUUGCAGCAUUGAAAUAUUCUUGCUAGCUCGAGGAACCUUCAGAAUCAUAUAGAUCGAGUUAAUAAUCGAAAAUCUUAUGCCACUAAGACCUAAUAGAACCCUCAUGCCUUACAUUUUCUAUGGUGAUAAGGCCAAAACCAGAAGAAACCAUGGAUUAUGAAUUAUUCACAGAUGGGGGCAUGCUACUGCUACUGCUACUGCUGCUGCUACUGCUACAGCCACAGCUACAGCAACAAGAAGAAAAAAGAGCGCUAGUGUCUA
rnacentral:lncRNA from 1 species